AUUGAACGCUGGCGGCAGGCCUAACACAUGCAAGUCGAGCGGACGAAGGGAGCUUGCUCCUGGCUUCAGCGGCGGACGGGUGAGUAAUGCCCAGGAAUCUGCCUGGCAGAGGGGGAUAACGUCCGGAAACGGGCGCUAAUAUCGCAUACGUCCUGAGGUUGAACGGGGGGGUUCAUUGGACCUCACGCUAUCAGAUGAGCCUAGGUCGGAUUAGCUAGUUGGUAGGGUAAAGGCCUACCAAGGCGACGAUCCGUAACUGCUCUGAGAGGGUGAUCAGUCACACUGGAACUGAGACACGGUCCAGACUCCUACGGGAGGCAGCAGUAGGGAAUCUUGGGCAAUGGGCGAAAGCCUGACCCAGCCAUGCCGCGUGUGUGAUGAAGGUCUUCGGAUCGUAAAACACUGUAAGUAGGGAGGAAGAGCUGUGAAUUUAACCCUGGCUGUUUUGACGUUACCUACUGAGAAAGCACCGGCUAACUACGUG
rnacentral:rRNA from 1 species